AGUUGGGUCGGUUCUGAAGUGUUUCGGAUCGAAUAUGGGCCAAAAACUGCGUCAGAGGUAAGGGACCGAUCGAUCCAAAUGUUAGACCGAUCGGUCUAAUGCUCACCGGUUUUAAUUCUGCAUCAGCUUCAGACACUCGUCAGAAUGACCUGUCUUCACGAAAUCGGGUGUAACUCUUGAAUGCACCGUUAGAUUUCCUUGAAAUCACUUGCAAAUAAAAGC
rnacentral:lncRNA from 1 species